rnacentral:lncRNA from 1 species
CAAUCAUAAUUGAAGCAAAAUGGUUGCCAGAACUUUUACAGAUACGUGGUUUGCUUCCAUUUCAGAACGUUUGCUGAUGCGUUUGUGCAGGAGAAUAUCGGUCUGUUUGGUCAAAUGGGCUUCUGCUGUACAUACAGUGCUGAUGGUGUCCUAAUGGAUGAAGUGGAAAAAUAUUCUUAAAGGGGUACUUUGGCAGACGCAGCCAUUUGGAGUACGGCCUCUCAUGGCUGCAGGCUUGCUGCAAGGUUUGCCUUUCUUUUAAUGAUAAUUCUGUAACAAGAUAUGAAGCUGACGUUUGUUUUACACUUUAUGUAAGUAUUUAAAAGAUCUGAGACCUAUUUUUGCUACGUAUAUAUUUUUUAAGCUUUAAGGCUGUGCCACUAAGAACACUUCAUCCAUCUUUUGUCAUUUUCUGAAACGUUACUAUUGUCAAAUUUAGAAUCCUUAACAGCAAUGAUGACGUUCCUCAUCUAAAAAAUCCUAAAGCAAAUGGAAGAAUUCCCUGGGAACCUGCAGACCAUGUGCAUGAUACAAAACUACGAAAAUUAGUCCAAAGUUCUGAUAAAUAUUUAGCGCCAGCGAGAGCUAAUAUUUGUUCUAGUUCUAAACAGUGAGAUGUUUAUUAUAUACAGAACACUUGGGUAGAAUAUGGACAGUAUACAAAGGUGACUCAAGGCAUUUCACGGUCUGACUUGUUUGUACAGCAGCCCUCUUUUGCUUACGCAUAGGCUCGUGCGCCAUAUGGAAGGGAACAUUCCUCGUGGUUCGACGGGCACAAUCGUACCGUCUGCCAGCGGCCUUCUGCAGGCUGCACAGGAGCUGCAGGCAGGAUUGAGGGUUGGCUCCUGAGCUGUGCAGCAUGAUCAGGUGUCAGUUUACAUCAGGAUCCCCAUGAAGUGCCAGCAGCCCAGGACAGAGUUAUGACACAAAUCAAGGUGUUGGUUGAAGCUUUGCUCCAGGUGCCACUGCCAAGGUGAGAAUUUUCACAUGAGUCUGUGGU